rnacentral:sRNA from 1 species
GUCACCUGAAGUCUUGGGCGAUUCA